CACGGCCUACGGGGGGCAGCAGUGGGGAAUAUUGCGCAAUGGGCGAAAGCCUGACGCAGCAACGCCGCGUGAAGGAAGAAGGCUUUCGGGUUGUAAACUUCUUUUAAGAGGGACGAAGGAAGUGACGGUACCUCUUGAAUAAGCCACGGCUAACUACGUGCCAGCAGCCGCGGUAAUACGUAGGUGGCAAGCGUUAUCCGGAUUUAUUGGGUGUAAAGGGCGUGUAGGCGGGAGCGCAAGUCAGAUGUGAAAACUCAGGGCUCAACCCUGAGCCUGCAUUUGAAACUGUGUUUCUUGAGUGCUGG
rnacentral:rRNA from 1 species